CCUGGGGUGGGACAGUGUGCUUGCUCCCUCCUCGGGGUCCUGCCCAGACCUCCCCACUCGUGUCCAUCCUUCCCCUCCCUGAAACCGGCUGUGCUUCGCUGAGUGGCUCUCACUCUGCAGUUUCUGGGCGAUCUUCCUGAUGUCCUGUCACCGCCUCAACCACAAGGUGGCGAUGAAGAGUGCGUUGCACUCACAGCAUCCACUCUUUAAUAUGCUCACAAAAUUUGGCUUUUACCCAAACUAGAAAAAUCAGGGAACCCCAGACUCAGGCCCAGUAGAGACCCCAAAGAAGCAGAGAAGGGUCAGUUCACUGAGGGGCCACACCUGCCCCAGGGCCAGGCCACUGUCCAUCCUGGUGCCACCACCACCCUGCUGGCCUGGCCCCCCCCAACCAGACAGCAGUCCCCACCCAGCCCAGCACCGGUAACCUUGAGAAUAGGGGCCAAUCAACAGGGGGGCCAGGAGCCCCCAAGGUGCAGGGUGCACUGAGGGCCCCACCGGCCCUGCUGAACACAGGCCUGACACCACCUCUCUCCUUCAAGGCCACCGACGCUCCUGGGAGGCAGUCAGUGCCGUCUCCCUGCGUCACUGGCAGAAGACUGAGGCUCAGAGGGGCAGAGUGACCUGCCUUGACCACCCACGCAUGUCUAUGCCGGAGCACCAGGCUGCCCCAGCGGCUCCUCCCGGCCUUCUGCAGCCCCAUCGCCCACCCACAUGGAACAUGGCUGGGGUGGACUGCAGGGAUGGAGCUGGGGCAGGACACAGCCCUAGGAGCACCUGCCUGGCGCCAGCUUCUGCUGACGGCAGCCCAACAGCCCCCAGCCACGUGGCAAAGCGGGUCCCCACGCAGCCCUGGCUGCAGCUGCUCCAGGGGUGGCCUGAGACUUCUCAAAGAAGAUGCUGUGCCCGGUCCCCCGGAACCCCUACUUGGCCUGACCCCGCUGAUGCUGCAGGCCCCCAGCCCAGCCAGGUGGGGACACCCAGCAUCCACCCGCAGGGAGGGGUGGCGUGCGGCCCACUGACCUCCCGGAAGAAGGCAGCAUUUCUCUGCACGCUGUCGCUGGCAUGAGCAGCCUGGAUCUCGGGGUAAAAGGAGCUGAUGACAUAGUCGAGCAGCUGCACUCGAAUGUCGUUCCUCCCCACGCUGGGGCCUGCACGCCCUGUGUGCUCAUCUGCAGACUUAAAAAUCUCAAAGGAUCCAAACCUGGAGGGAAGACCCGAGGCGUCAACAGCCCAAACCUGACCCCAGCCCCUUGUGAAAAUAAGAAAAAGGAAAAGACGUUGUUGUGGCUAUUUUUUUUUUUUUUUUGAGAUGGAGUCUCACUCUUGUUGUCCAGGCUGGAGUGCAGUGGCGCGAUCUCGCCUCACCACAACCUCCAACUUCUGGGUUCAAGUGAUUCUACUGCCUCAGCCUCCCGAGUAGCUGGGAUUACAGGCACACGCCACCACGCCCAGCUAAUUUUUGUAUUUUUAGUAGAGACAGGGUUUCACCAUGUUGGUCAGGCUGGUCUCAAACUCCUGACCUCGUGAUCCACCCGCCUCGGCCUCCCAAAGUGCUGGGAUUACAGGCGUGAGCCACCGCGCCUGGCCUGUUGUGGCUGCUAAAUCAUGCAGCCCUACAGCAGAAAGAGAACCUUGAUUAAAACAAAAGCAAACAACCAACCAGAAUGCACCACAGCUUUACCUGACACACAGACAUAUUCCACGUUUGGUCAACAUCCAGCCACUGACCAGGCCCUGUCUGCACAGUCUGGGGCACGUGCCGGGCAGGCCCAUGGGUGUAGAAACCACCAAGGCCCCUGCACUCCCACCCCAACCCCACGAGGAGUGUUUUCGGCAGGUCUUACACACGGAGGGGCGUGGCCUGCCUGCCACUGCGUCCUCGGGGAGGAGAUGCAAAGGAGAGUCAGCUGCUAUGGACACACAUCUGUGAGCGCUCACCAGCAGCCGUCCCCCAGGGUGACUGCCCCCCAGGGGACAUCAGGCAAGGUCUGGACACAUUUUUCGUUGUCACAACUGGGGUUACUACUGGCAACCAGCGGGCCCAGGGCAGGGAUGCUGUGUGCACACAGGGUGGACUUCACAACAAUGCCAGCAUUGCCGCUGGGCGGGGCCUCAGAGGAAGUCGUGGCCCCAGAUCUUUCCCAUCCCCCUGCAGGACAGGAAAAGCCAGAGGCCCACAGGCAGCCUCAGGGGUGGGCGGCUGGUGUCCCGGGCAGGACGGGGCUGCAAGACCAACAGACAACUACAUUCAGGUGUUCAGGAGGAAGUGCUAGACGCCAGGUGGCAAGGUGACAUCAAAAACUGAUGGCUGGGGGCCGGGCGCGGUGGCUCAGGCCUAUAAUUCUAGCACUUUAGGAGGCCAAGAUGGGUGAAUCACCAGAGGUCAGGAGUUCGAGACCAGCCUGGCCAACAUGGAGAAACCCUGUCUGUACUAAAAAUAUAAAAAUUAGCUGGACGUGGUGGCGCACGUCUGUAACCCCAGCUAUUUGGGGGGACUGAGGUAGGAGAAUCGCUUGAACCCGGGAGGCGGAGGUUGCACUGAGCCAAGAUCACGCCACUGCACUCCAGCCUGGGUGACAGAGCGAUACUCUGUCUCAAAAAAAAAGAAAAGAGAACUGAUAACUGAUGGCUCACGUCAGACAGGAGCCAGCCUAGGACUCCAGACCAACGAGCAACUGGACCAUCAGAUCAGAAAGCCUGAGCAGGACACCGCGCACAGCUUGCGGCUCCUGCUUCUUCAGUGGCCAUUUCCUCAGUCAAGUCUAAGUAGUUCCUUGUCAUAAACUCCAGCAAACAGCUCUGGACACUGUCCCCAGCCUCAGGCUCAGGGACCCCCUCCCCCCCAGAAGCACCAGGCAGGGACCCUUCUCUGGUGCCCGUGGCCCUGGAGCCCCCUGCUGGUGCUUUGAGACACACCAGCUCCCGCAGGGCCAUCUCUGGCUGCAACGAGGGCCUGGCCGGGCACGUGGGAGGGCUCAGCACAAGUGUCCUAACUGAGUACCAAAUGCCUUUGCACUCAGAUCCCUCCCAGUGGGCGUGACGCAGCUACUUCGCGGACAGGCAGCUUCUGAGGCUGCCAGGGACAGGCUGGACUUUCAGAAGAGGCCAAGGCGGUCAUCUGGGUUUGUUUCUACCAGAAUCCUAGCAGCACAGGCCCAAAUCUCCUAGGACUCUAAGCAAGUGCGUGUAGACAGGCCGAAAGGCCCCCGGCAUUACCUUAUGAAAGUGGAAGCUACACGCAACACAACCGUGCAUUGUUCAUAUUUGGGAUUACCAUCAUAGAACACGUCGCGCACCACCGUGGACUCGGACGUGACGCAGGCGCCGGCCCGUGUGGUGGGGACUCCCAGGUGGAACAUGGCUUCGCUGCAUAGAAACUCCCGGAUGCUUGACCGUAGGACCUUGCGACCGUCGGCCUGUCUGAAACCAAACACAGAGUUCACUACGUGGGCCGGUCAGGAGGUCACCCAACACCAGGAUUCCGGGCAGCACAUGGAAAGGAGGGAACGCGUGUAACGUGAGCAGCUUGCACGUCCCUGAAAACCGCCCGUCCCAGGUGACAUCAGGUGCCUUGUGAGCCUCCAACACCGCCCAGUUCCAGCAACCUCACAGCCCAGCAGGUUGUCGGCACAGCCUCUGGUAAAAAUGGGCCUGAACACACGCAGCAGCCCGUCUUCCUGCCCAGAACGAGGGUUCCGCAGCAGAAGCCAGGACUGUGUGACUGCACAGUGGGGACAAAGGGCCUGGGGCAGCCCUGCCCCAUGGGACACAACAGCCUUUGCACCAGGAUGGGUGCCCCGGUACGGGCCAGCUGAGGAAUGAGCUCCUCUGUGCCUGCCGGGGCCCCCACACCCACAGUGGGAGGAGGCAGGGCAGAGAAGCCAGCUGCCCGCCCCGCAAAACCCGCCCGAGGCUCCGACAGCGCUGGCCUCAGGCCACUCAGCCACUUCUGACCCCCAGGUCUCGCAUUCCCUUCCCCACAGGUCUUCGGGUCCCCGGCCUCGGCCUCAUGUCCUGCAGAACUGCCGAGGCCAGGGAAUCGGACAGGCAUGGGGAAGGGGAUGUGAGAUCUGAGGGCCAGAUGACUGCCCCCUUUUUCUUCAAUUAUUUUCACUGUGGUAAAAUACACAUAAAAUAAAUUUACCAUCUUAAGCCA